rnacentral:tRNA from 1 species
GCUGAGGUCGCAUAACCCGGUAGUGCACCGGUCUUGAAAACCGGCAGGCGCAAGCCUAUGGGGGUUCAAAUCCCCUCCUCAGCG